AAACUGAACAAAGUUGAAAAUACUAAAUAGAUAUAUAUACAGACGUUUGACAUCCUUUCUCUUACACUUGCUGGUUUAUAAAUAGAUAUACUCUUACACUUCUAGUUAUAUAUAUACUCAUCCUUACUGUCUUACUUCAAUUGCUCUGAAAUUUGAGGAGUUGUAAAUUUAAUUGAAAACAUGUCAAAUUUCAAUCUUACGUGCAAGUUACUUUAAUUUGACGUGUUCUCCUGUAUUUAUUCUUAUUCAUAGAAAUAUAUAUCUUCAUUCUUCAUGCUUAAUCCUACAAGCAGUUCACCCUUUAUCCUUUAUUCUUUUAACCAUCAAUUGUGCAAUGUACACAGACCAUUUUCACUUAAUAACGUGGUUUUCAAGUUAUCAUGGUAAAACUAUAAGAACAUAAAACAUAAGGUUGCUGAAAUGACGUUUACCUAUUCCACAAUUGUCUUAGUACUGGAUUUGUUAGCCCUUUUUCUCCUUCUAUAAAACUUUUUUGCCUGAAAAACAUCCUGAGCGCAACGAGGAAUUCUUUGUUAUACAAAUUUUUACUUUUUAGUAAUAAUCAUCAUUCAUCAUUCUUUCUUUGGCUCAAAUAUAAAUAUUCUCUUCAUUUAUAAUUCAUUUUUAAAUAACUAGGCUUUUAUAGUAAUAUUCAUCAUUCUUCAUUCUUUCUUUGGCUCAAACAUACAUAUUCUCUUUCUUUAUAAUUCAUUUUUAAAUAACUAGGCUCAGAUAAAAAUGAGUGUAAAAUUUGAAGAAUUAUAUGAGACAGAUGAACUUGAGGAUUUGAAUGAACUCCUUGCACAGCUCCCAGAUGUUGAUGAAUUAGAGGGAUUUACAACAGUUUACAACAGAGCUAGAACUCUGUUCUGCGAUGAUUCAACUCUUCUCGACGAAUUUGCAGCUUUGAAAACACAUCUUGAGAGAGUUCUAUUCAUGUCAGAACUUCAGGUUGUCAAAGAUGCUCUUAACAACCUGAAAUGCAUCCGUCAAACCCCAGCAGAACUAAACCCUACCCAGCUACCAAACCAAACCCCAGCAGAACUAAACCCUACCCAGCUACCAAAUCAACUAAAAUCAACGAAUGUCCCUCCCCUGCUCCUAGGAGGACCGAAUAAGAAAUACCCGCAUAUGUCCAAGGCUAUUGAGGUAAAAAGUUCAAAGAGCGAGGGAAGGUAUCUAGCCGCAGUUCAGAGGAUUUCACCUGGCGAUGUUUUAAUAGUUGAUAAACCUUAUAUAACAUCCCUCUUCCCUGCACAUUAUUCUUCACAUUGUCUUGCCUGCUUUAAAAGAUUGUCAGAGGACUUUUUAAAAUGCCCUUCUUGCCUGAAGGUAAGAUUUUGUGAUACAAGUUGCUACACAUCCUGCUUCAAGAAAACACAUAAGUGGGAAUGCGAAGUUUUGGAAUUGAUAGACAACGAUGAAAUUGGUAGAAUGGCAGCUAUGGCAUACAGAAUUGUUUCACAAACAGGUUUUGAGUUUCUAAGCAGUAUUUCUGAUAAACUUGGAAGGAGUGAGGGGACGUACACAGAGGGAGAUUAUUUAGCAGUUUAUAACCAGGUUGAUAAUAUGGAGUUAAGACCAACAGGAGAUCAUUUAAAACGAUGUUUCACCGCGCUCUAUCUUGCAAAAUGCCUCGAGUUGGUUGGAUGGUUCCAUGGCAAACCAAGCAAAGAUAAUUUUCUAUUCGUAGCAGCUCUUUUAGUCAAGCAUAUACAGGCAUGUGCCUGUAACGCCUAUGAAAUCAAUGAGUUUGUAAAGAAAGGAGAAUCUAUGAUAAAUAGUGAGAGUUUAGAACUGGGAGGAGCUGUUUAUCCAACUAUUAGUUUAUCCAACCAUUCCUGUAACGGAAACACAAGCAGGACUAAUUAUGGAAUAUAUUGUGUAGUGAGAGCUACGAGAUCAAUUCAACCAAGUGAAAAGGUGUAUGAUAACUAUGGUCAAUUUUACCAUAUAGAGAGUAAGGAGGAGAGACAAAAAAGGCUUAAGCUUCAAUACUUUUUCGACUGCAGUUGUGCAGCUUGUAAGCAAAACUGGCCUCUGUACAGGGUAUUUAGUGGGCAGACUAGUGUUUACAAAUGCCCAGGUUGCGGGGGUUCAUUGGGUACACAAGUAGACAAGGAAGAUUAUGGACGGUAUAACCCCUGAGAACGCGAAUGAUUAUAUAAAAACAUAUUCUAUACUUCUUACACAAAUAGAAAAGAUUUUUUCUCCCCCCUGCCGUGAACUGACUGAAUGCACACAAG
rnacentral:misc_RNA from 1 species